CAGUAUACAUACAGCUCUAUACACAAAUCAUUUUUCUUACUUUUACACAAACCUCCUAAAUAUAGCUCAAAAACACAAACAACAUCAACAUCUCCCAACUACACGACAGCCCACCAUUUCAAUGGCAUAAACUCCUCUAAAAACCCAUUUUUAAGGCUGACUUUCAACUACCCCUUUUGAUCUUUUGCCUAUUUUUCGCAAAUCUUGACCUACCCUUUUGUUGCAAAUUUGGAAACCCCUAUUUGAUAAUAUUUUGGGCAAAAUUUGAAGUAUACCAUUUUUGGUUAAAGUUUGGAGAAUCCAUGGCCGGCACCACUACCGCCGGCGAUACCAGCACCAGCAGUAGAAGCAACCUAGCGCCGACAAAAAGUCUGAGCAAAAAGGAAAAUCAAGGACUUUUAUUGGGUAGGUAUGAAAUUGGGAAAUUACUAGGGCAUGGUACGUUUGCUAAGGUUUAUCAUGCUAGGAAUGUGAAGACAAAUGAGAGCGUUGCUAUAAAAGUGAUUGAUAAAGAAAAGAUCUUGAAAGUUGGUCUUAUUGAUCAUAUAAAACGCGAGAUCUCAAUUUUAAGGAGAGUUAGACACCCAAACAUAGUCCAAUUGUAUGAAGUUAUGGCCACAAAGGCCAAAAUUUACUUUGUCAUGGAGUAUGUUAAAGGUGGUGAGCUUUUUAAUAAGGUUGCUAAAGGCAGGCUUAAGGAAGAAGUUGCUAGAAAAUAUUUCCAGCAGUUAAUCUCUGCUGUAGCUUUUUGUCAUGCUCGUGGUGUUUACCAUAGGGACCUAAAGCCUGAAAAUAUACUGUUAGAUGAAGAUGGGAAUGUUAAAGUUUCUGACUUUGGCCUUAGUGCCAUUUCAGAGCAGAUAAAGCAAGAUGGUUUGUUUCAUACUUUUUGUGGUACCCCGGCUUAUGUGGCGCCGGAGGUGUUAGCAAGAAAGGGUUAUGAUGCAGCCAAAGUUGAUAUUUGGUCAUGUGGGGUGAUACUCUUUGUGCUAAUGGCAGGGUAUUUGCCAUUUCAUGAUCAGAAUAUUAUGGCUAUGUAUAAGAAGAUAUAUAAGGGUGAAUUUAGAUGUCCUAGAUGGUUUUCACCCGAAUUGACUAGGUUUUUAAGGCAGCUUCUUGAUACUAAUCCUGAAACUAGGAUCACUAUUCAGGACGUUAUGAACAAUAGGUGGUUUAAGAAGGGUUUUAAAUAUGUCAAGUUUUAUAUUGAGGAUGACAAGUUGUGUAGUGUUAAUGAUGAUGAUUAUGAUGGAGGGGUUGAUUAUUCGUCUGAUAGAUCGGAGUCUGAACCUGAAAUGGAGAUGAGAAGGAAGCCUGCUACUUUGCCUAGGCCAGCUAGCUUGAAUGCAUUUGAUAUCAUAUCGUUUUCUCGUGGUUUUGAUUUGUCUGGUUUGUUUGAAGAGGGAGGAGAUGGGGCAAGGUUUGUAUCCGGGGCUCCUGUGCCCAAGAUCAUAAGUAAGUUGGAGGAAAUUGCUAAAGUUGUGAGCUUUGCGGUGAGGAAGAAGGAUUGUAGAGUGAGUUUAGAGGGGUCUAAAGAGGGUGAAAAGGGACCAUUGACAAUUGCAGCUGAGAUAUUUGAGUUGACGCCGUCGCUAAGAGUUGUUGAGGUGAAGAAGAAAGGUGGAGAUAGAGUGGAGUAUGAGGAGUUUUACAACAGGGAAUUGAAGCCAGGGUUACAGAAUUUAUCGCUUGAAGUUGGAGACCCCAUCCAUUCAUCUUAUUUGCCAUCAGAUACUGAAUAGAGAGAAAGAGAAGGGAAAAGGGUACCACAAGUCUGAGUGCAGGCAACAACUAAGGCAAUGACAUUUCAUUGAGGUAAGUGUGGACUUCUAACAAUUGGUGAAGGCUACUUCCGCUAGAACGGAGAACUCCUGAAUUACAAAAAGCAGAGCCGAAUGCCAAGCUGGAUGGAUCAAGCGCUAACCCCCGCCAACUCGCCCUUUUGCGUUGCUCUUCGUCACAAGUUGAUGUUCAAGAUCAAGAUUUAACCAUUUCAACUCAGGCCAGUGCAUAACAUGGUUCGUAGUCUAUUUGUAUAUUAGUAGUCUGUCUAUGGAACUAGCAGUUGUAGCCAAAAUAAUAAAGGUCUUCUGAUUUGCACUUCACGCCAAGUUAGUGGAUGUAAUACUUAUGCAGAGAAAUAAAAAAGAAAAUUGAAAAUGGCAUAAGGAAUAGUCAAAGUCGGUUUUUAAAUUAUAAAAACUUUGUAAUAAUGUUUCUGGACCAUACCAAAAAAGAAUAUUUCCGGACCACUGUGUAGUGGAUGAUUGAAAGCUUUGUUUAGUGUCGUGAGACGGCAGUUUCGCGACUA